CGGAGAGGGGCCGGGAUGGGAGCGUCCCCCGUGCACCACCCCGCCCCAUAACCACCCCUUUCCCUGGGCCAUGGUGCAGGCUUGUUUUUACGCACUGCCCCUUUGCAAAAUGCUUCUUACCUACGUUAUGGCUUGCUACCUUAUCCUGUGGCUGCGUUCAUGGUCCAUCUGAGCAAGGGUUUUACUCGGGGUAACUCCCUGCCUUAGCAUUGCUCUGCCAGGAUGGGGCAGGGUUUGCAACACUGCAUUGCCCAGGCUGCCCCUCUGGGUUCUCAGCCCAACUGCUCCCUCUGAAAAUCAGCAGAGAAGUAACCUGAAGGGAGUGCUGCUGUGGAGCAGCAAAGACUGAUGUGCAGUUAUAUUGCCUGCACAAACUGGGACCCUUUGGAGGAUAACACAGGGCUCCAUCCCCCACUGGGAUCUCUACCCGAAGUAACUUGCCUAACUUGUGUACCAACAAGGAGCAAGGCUGGAGCAGCGCUGAUCCUCUGCCUUCAGCAGUGCUCCUCUGCGUGCAGGGCUCGGCGCAGGCAGCGGAUCGUCCUCCCGAGGCGGCUGCAGGCAGCUCCCAUCUUGGACGACCUCAUUUUAACCUCCCUGUUUCGAGGCAGCAGUGGCAUUAUAUAACCCAGAUUUCGGCGGGUCUGCGAGGGAGGCUGCGCAGAAACAGACGUGUGCUCACACGGGUCAGGGCAUAGUGGGGCUCCUUCCGCUGGUGCCCUUGCCCACGUCUCACCCAGAGCUGCCAAGGAAAGCUCCCACUCCAGAGCUGCAGCUGUGGAUCUCUGGACUCACAGUGCAGAACACAUUCGUGGCAGCUCUGCGGAGGGCAGUGCUAAGGAUAGAAUGGCUCUCAGCAGCUGAAAGUGAACCCGUGGGAGCCUGGUGCUCCUCUAGGCGGACCUAUGGAGGGAGUCCCUGUGGGACUCAGGGCUCAGCCAUUCCUGGCUCAUGGC
ensembl:lncRNA